UACGGAGGGUGCAAGCGUUAUCCGGAUUCACUGGGUUUAAAGGGUGCGUAGGUGGGUCUGUAAGUCAGUGGUGAAAUCUCCGAGCUUAACUUGGAAACUGCCAUUGAUACUAUAGAUCUUGAAUAUCGUGGAGGUAAGCGGAAUAUGUCAUGUAGCGGUGAAAUGCUUAGAUAUGACAUAGAACACCGAUUGCGAAGGCAGCUUGCUACACGAUCAUUGACACUGAGGCACGAAAGCGUGGGGAUCAAACAGG
rnacentral:rRNA from 1 species